CAGCCGCCGCGGUAAUACGGAGGGAGCUAGCGUUAUUCGGAAUUACUGGGCGUAAAGCGCACGUAGGCGGCUUUGUAAGUUAGAGGUGAAAGCCUGGAGCUCAACUUUAGAAUUGCCUUUAAGACUGCAUCGCUUGAAUCCAGGAGAGGUGAGUGGAAUUCCGAGUGUAGAGGUGAAAUUCGUAGAUAUUCGGAAGAACACCAGUGGCGAAGGCGGCUCACUGGACUGGUAUUGACGCUGAGGUGCGAAAGCGUGGGGAGCAAACAGGAUUAGAUACCCGAGUAGUCCCUGUCUCUUAUAC
rnacentral:rRNA from 1 species